UGAGGAAUAUUGGGCAAUGGACGCAAGUCUGACCCAGCCAUGCCGCGUGCAGGAUGACGGCCCUAUGGGUUGUAAACUGCUUUUGUAUGGGAAGAAACUUUCGCACGUGUGCGGAAUUGACGGUACCAUGCGAAUAAGCAUCGGCUAACUCCGUGCCAGCAGCCGCGGUAAUACGGAGGAUGCAAGCGUUAUCCGGAUUUAUUGGGUUUAAAGGGUGCGCAGGCGGAUUGAUAAGUCAGUGGUGAAAGCCCCCGGCUCAACUGGGGAAUUGCCAUUGAUACUGUCAAUCUAGAGUACAGUUGAAGUGGGCGGAAUGUAGCAUGUAGCGGUGAAAUGCUUAGAUAUGCUACAGAACACCGAUUGCGAAGGCAGCUCACUAAGCUGAAACUGACGCUCAGGCACGAAAGCGUGGGGAGCAAACAGG
rnacentral:rRNA from 1 species